rnacentral:rRNA from 1 species
AAAUUGAAGAGUUUGAUCAUGGCUCAGAUUGAACGCUGGCGGCAGGCCUAACACAUGCAAGUCGAACGGUAACAGGAAGCAGGUUGCUGCUUCGCUGACGAGUGGCGGACGGGUGAGUAAUGUCUGGGAAACUGCCUGAUGGAGGGGGAUAACUACUGGAAACGGUAGCUAAUACCGCAUAACGUCGCAAGACCAAAGAGGGGGACCUUCGGGCCUCUUGCCAUCGGAUGUGCCCAGAUGGGAUUAGCUUGUUGGUGGGGUAACGGCUCACCUAGGCGACGAUCCCUAGCUGGUCUGAGAGGAUGACCAGCCACACUGGAACUGAGACACGGUCCAGACUCCUACGGGAGGCAGCAGUGGGGAAUAUUGCACAAUGGGCG